rnacentral:lncRNA from 1 species
AUGCCUCAGUUUCCUCUUCAGUGCAGUUUCCUCUCCCCCUCACAGUGCAAACAGACUGGAAAAGAUAUUACCAUAGAGACUUUAGAAUGUCUACAAGUGCAAGAAUUCUUUUUACAGGACAUUUCUCCUUUAGUCUAUGGCAACGAAUGCAUAUCCUCAUCACUUUCAAAGGCAGUGUUGGCUGGACUCAGAAUCAAGACAAGAGUGAUCAGGGUACUUCAUCUCCCUGCUGCAGCCCAGCAGAUUGUAAACUCUCUAAACAGUAACGACUGUCAAUCUGUUCCAUGGGAUGCCAAUGUGCACAGUAGGAGGGAAGUAGAGCACCUCUUAUCUACAAGCAAUACGUACUGUGCAGGCAUUUCACCUCUUUAUUCUUCUGUAAUCACUGCAACCACCUAUGUUCACAGAUGUCAGUAUGGAAAUUCAUAAAGAUGGACAAAAAGAUGAAGAGGCAUACUGACACACUCACACACACACAAAUGGAAAACAGAUUUGUUUUGACAACCUAUUAUACUACAAAAAUAUUUAUGAAUGUAAGCUGCAGCAAAGUGCAUCCAUCUUCCAAAAGCACACAUACCCCGCCAAAGGCUGCUGAGAUUCAGGGAAG